ensembl:snoRNA predicted gene, 23442
UCCUCCUACAAAGGCGUGUUUUUGGUUCCUUGUCCUUGGACACGUAAGAAUCGGAGGCAAAGAAGCGUGGAUUUGCCAAGAUGUGGGGCCAGCUUGCUCCCCGCAGGCUCUGGAUCAACUGUCCCACAGAA